AUUGAACGCUGGCGGAAUGCUUUACACAUGCAAGUCGAACGGUAGAGGGGGCAACCCCUCGAGAGUGGCGAACGGGUGAGUAAUAUAUCGGAACGUGCCCAGUCGUGGGGGAUAACGUAGCGAAAGUUACGCUAAUACCGCAUACGAUCUAAGGAUGAAAGCGGGGGAUCGCAAGACCUCGCGCGAUUGGAGCGGCCGAUAUCAGAUUAGGUAGUUGGUGGGGUAAAGGCUCACCAAGCCAACGAUCUGUAGCCGGUCUGAGAGGACGACCGGCCACACUGGAACUGAGACACGGUCCAGACUCCUACGGGAGGCAGCAGUGGGGAAUUUUGGACAAUGGACGCAGGUCUGAUCCAGCCAUUCCGCGUGCAGGAUGAAGGCCCUCGGGUUGUAAACUGCUUUUGUACGGAACGAAAAGGUCUCUCUUAAUACGGGGGGCUCAUGACGGUACCGUAAGAAUAAGCACCGGCUAACUACGUGCCAGCAGCCGCCGUAA
rnacentral:rRNA from 1 species